rnacentral:rRNA from 1 species
UAAGGAAUAUUGGUCAAUGGACGAGAGUCUGAACCAGCCAUGCCGCGUGAAGGAUGAAGGUCCUCAGGAUUGUAAACUUCUUUUAUCUGGGACGAAAAAAGGCUUUUUCAAGUCGCUUGACGGUACCAGAGGAAUAAGCACCGGCUAACUCCGUGCCAGCAGCCGCGGUAAUACGGAGGGUGCAAGCGUUAUCCGGAUUCACUGGGUUUAAAGGGUGCGUAGGCGGGUAGGUAAGUCAGUGGUGAAAUCUUCGGGCUUAACCCGGAAAUUGCCGUUGAUACUAUCUAUCUUGAAUAUCGUUGAGGUUUGCGGAAUAUGUCAUGUAGCGGUGAAAUGCUUAGAGAUGACAUAGAACACCUAUUGCGAAGGCAGCAGGCUAAACGAAGAUUGACGCUGAGGCACGAAAGCGUGGGGAUCAAACAG